rnacentral:rRNA from 1 species
AUUCCAGCUCCAAUAGCGUAUAUUAAAGUUGUUGCAGUUAAAAAGCUCGUAGUCGGAUUUCUGGUGGGAGCGAUCGGUCUGGCGCUUAGCGCGAGUACUUGCAUCGUCUCCGGCCAUCCUUGAGGAGAGCGUCUCUGGCAUUAAGUUGUCGGAGUCGGGACCCUCAUCCUUUACUGUGAAAAAAUUAGAGUGUUUAAAGCAGGCUUAGGCCGUUGAAUACAUUAGCAUGGAAUAAUAAGAUAGGACUUUGGUGGUCUAUUUUGUUGGUUUGCACACCAAGGUAAUGAUUAAUAGGGACAGUUGGGGGUAUCCGUAUUUCGUAGUCAGAGGUGAAAUUCUUGGAUUUACGAAAGACGAACUACUGCGAAAGCAUUUACCAAGGAUGUUUUCAUCG